AAGUUGCAGGGUAUAGACCCGAAACCCGGUGAUCUAGCCAUGGGCAGGUUGAAGGUUGGGUAACACUAACUGGAGGACCGAACCGACUAAUGUUGAAAAAUUAGCAGAUGACUUGUGGCUGGGGGUGAAAGGCCAAUCAAACCGGGAGAUAGCUGGUUCUCCCCGAAAGCUAUUUAGGUAGCUGCCUCGUGAACUCAUCUUCGGGGGUAGAGCACUGUUUCGGCUAGGGGGUCAUCCCGACUUACCAACCGAUGCAAACUACGAAUACCGAAGAAUGUUAUCACGGGAGACACACGGCGGGUGCUAACGUCCGUCGUGAAGAGGGAAACAACCCAGACCGCCAGCUA
rnacentral:rRNA from 1 species